rnacentral:rRNA from 1 species
UACGUAGGGGGCAAGCGUUGUCCGGAAUCAUUGGGCGUAAAGAGCGUGUAGGCGGCUCGAUAAGUCUGCUGUGAAAGUCCAGGGCUCAACCCUGGAAGGCCGGUGGAAACUGUCGGGCUAGAGUCCGGAAGAGGCGAGUGGAAUUCCCGGUGUAGCGGUGAAAUGCGCAGAUAUCAGGAGGAACACCGGUGGCGAAGGCGGGUCUCUGGGCCGAUACUGACGCUGAGGAGCGAAAGCGUGGGGGAGCGAACAGG